CGCCCUGUGGCUCAGGGACCUCUUGCAAGAAGUGCUUUCCUGUAGGCGACAGGCUUUGAAGAUUAUAUGACCUCAAAGGAAUAGCUGAGAGGCGUAUAUGACUUCAAAGGAAUAGCUGAGGGGCGUCUGAGUUUAGAAGGCUGUGGAAGAACUACAUCUACUGUGUGGAUACACUCACCAGGAUCUGCACCCUGGAAACAUCUUAAUAGAUUCCAAGAAUGCUGUUUGCCUGGCAGAUUUCGAUAAAAGCAUCAAGUGGGGUGGAGAGCCGCAGGAAAUCAAGACAGAUCUAGAGGCCCUUGGACUGCUGGUCCUGUAUGUGGUAAAGAAGGGAGAUAUCCCUUUUGAAACCCUGAAGACUAAAAGUAAUGAAGAGGUGAUUCAACUUUCUCCAGAUGAGGAAACUUGUAACCUCAUUCAUCACCUGUUCAACCCUGGAGAAAAUGUGAAGGAGCAUCUGAGUGGCCUGCUGGGUCAUCCCUUCUUUUGGAGUUGGGAGAACCGCUAUAGGACCCUUAGGGAUGUGGGAAAUGAAUCGGACAUUAAAAUGCGAAAAUGUAACAGCAGGAUUGUCCAACUACUGCAACUUGAAAUGUCUGAAUGUUCCAGAAGUUUUGCCCAGUGGACUUCUAAGAUUGACAACUACGUUAUGCAAGAAAUGAAUAAGUAUUAUGAAAACAAACGCAAACGGUAUAAGAAUACUGUGAGUGAUCUGUUAAAGUUCAUCCGGAAUUUGGGAGAACAUAUUAAUGAAGAAAAAAACAAAGAGAUGAAGUCGAGAAUUGGAGAACCUUUCCAGUAUUUGCAGGAGAAAUUUCCCGAUCUCGUCAUCCAUGUCUACACGAAACUACAGAACACAGAAUACAAAAAGCAUUUUCCCAAAACCCUCAAUCCCAGCAAGCCUUAGUGUGAUAGAGGUCAUCCCUGAGUGGUGGCUGAGCUUUUAGAGUUCAGGGAGGUACUUACUUAGCUGUGAUCUCGGGCAAGUCACAACUCUCUGUCUGGGUCUCUUAACUAACCUGGUUGUUUGCGGGGAUGUUAGAUAGCGGGUAUAUCAGGCCCUGACACAGUGCCCAGUUUUCCCACAUGUUUACAACAGAAAAAUGUAUAUGCUCAAACUACCUUCCUUGUCUUUUUUAUGGAUAAAGCUUAGUGGUAGGAGCUGGGAGGGCAUCCUGCUAAGAUUCCUCUUGUCAGUUACACCCCAGGAGUUGAGUGGCUACACCUGUAAUGCUUCUAUGUUUUACCUUGAUUGUCUCAUUUAAUUCUGCCAAUGACCUUGCAAGACAGGGUUUAUUAUCUCCAUUUAAGAACUGGCAGACCUGAGAUUCAGAGAGUUUGAAUUACUUGCCCAAGAUCAUACAACUUGCAUAGAGCACUGUAUAAAUGCAUGUCGUGUUAUUGUUAUCACUAACUUGGGUAUUUAGAACUUAAUCACUAGCCCAGGGAUCUUCUGGAUGGAUCCCCAAAGGAAUAUGUCAAAGGGACUCCAGAAAGCUCAUUCACUCAUUUACUCCACUUAUGCAUGCAUUCAUUCAUUCAAUAUUUGUUGAACACCUAGUAUAAGACCAGACACUAAUUGUAUGAAUUCCAUUCCUUCUAGAACCACCUACAUUGGUUUUCCAUGACCUCAAGGCAGUAGUUCUCGACUGGGGGCAGUUUUGCCCCCCAGGGGCCAUUUAGCAUCAUCUGGGGAUGUUUUUGGUUUUCAAUCUGGGAGAUAGGGCAUGUUAUUGUCAUCAGAUAGAUGGAGGUCAGGGAUGAUGCCAAACAUUCUAUAAUGCACAGGACAGCCCCCCACAACAGAGAAUUAGCCAGCCUAAAAUAUCAGUGGUACCAAGACUGAGAAACUCUGCCUUAAGGAAUUGGGACACUUUUGAACUGGCUUGGGGACUAGGACCAUGGAUUGUGUAGACCACCUCACAGAGGAGCGACUUGGAUUUAUUUUCUUGCUUUUGGAUUUGUAGUGAAACAAUUCCAGUGUCACCUCCCCAGGAAGCCCCCUGAGCCCCCCCACCCUCCAUCCCCCAGUCUGAGUGCUCUUUCUGGCCCCCUAGCACCCAUAACCAGAGCAUGCUUCUCUCCACCUUGAGCUUGCUUCUUCCUCACUGGAAUGUAAGCUUUCAAGGACCAGUGAUAUUUAUAAUGUUUAUUUAUUUAUUUUGAGAGAGAGAGUGAGUAUAAGCGAGGGAGGGACAGGGCUCAGCGUGGAGCUCGAUGUGGGGCUUGAUCCUACAACCAUGAGAUCCUGAUCAGAGCCAAAAUCAAGUGUUGGACACUUAACUGACUGAGCCACCCAAGCACCCCAAUAUAUAUUUUUUGAUUUGUAUCAUUAGUGCCUAGCAAAAUGUCUGCCAUAUGGUAACAUUCAAUAGUCCCUGAAAAAUGAAUGAACCACCUUUAUAAAUGAAGAAUAAUGUUACCUUAGAUUUUAAUCGUGCUUUAUAAUUUAUAAAUUACACCCACAUAUUUUCUCUUUUAGUUUUCAAAAUUAUCCUGUAAGGUAGGUGUUGUUAUCUUCAUUUUGCAGAUGAGGAUAGAGACAUAUUGAUUUACUCUAAUACAUAGCUAGAAAGUAUCACUGUCUUGAUUUGAACAUAUUUUCUGGCAUUAAGGCUGAUGUAUUUUCCACUUAUCCUCGUUCUGGUGGUCAAGGUGGAGACUUGUAAUGGGAGGAACUGGGGAUAAAACAGUAUCUUAGGUUCUUUCUGAAGAGAUGACGACAGUAAAUGAAGUUAAGAAGAGUUGGAAGUCAAACUAAACAUAACUGACACUGAUGUCCUCCACUCUCACCUAUGAUUGCAUGGAUCAUCCUCUCCUUGCUUAAAAAAAAGGUACUGGAAGAAAGAAACUUAAGGCUGUUCUGUAAGGUUUUAGGAGAAGCAAGAUUGCCUUAGAUUUUAAAAUUAAGGUUUGUUUUUUCUGAUUUGUAGUAAGUACCUGGUUAUGUCAAUCAAAAUGCCCAUUUGUAAAGCAUAGUCAAUAAAACUUGGAGUCCUCUU